ACACGCUCAUUAAGAGCUGAAUUAGCACUUCAUUUUUUAGAGUGUAGAAGAAUGCGUAAAAAGGCGUAAAUGUGUUUAUCAUACAUCGUUUUGUUUUAAUGGAUGAACGUUUGUCCUUGUAAAAGAUACGAAGUGCACCAUUUGACCUGGAUUUCCUUGCUUCUAAUUAUUCUACUAUGCUUCAGUAAAUGGGGAUUAAAUAAUUAUUCUCGUUAAUAUAUCCUUUUCGUGCCGAAUGCUGAUAUUCUGCAUUAGUUGUUAAUGUUAAUGAUAAAAAACAGAAAUAUAUUAAUGCAGAUGCGAAGUUUUGACCAAAAGCAUGAAAAUUUGGGCAUAAAUUUUCAUUUUUUUUCUCCAAAAAUAUUUACCUCUUCUGCCAAGAAAACGAUUGCAAUCGAUUUAUAUUGUUUAAACCAUAGUGCAAAGCGUAUUCAUUUAAUAUUGUCACAUUGUCUGUGGAAAAAAAUAUGGGAAUAAUUGAUUUUCAUGAAAAAUCCAAGAUGGAUGCCAAAAUUUCCAAUUUUGAGCCCCAUAUAUAUGGGACAUGAUCUAGCAAAGGGAACAUUAAUAUUCAUUACUAAACAAUUCAGGUAAUACAAAAAAGUUGGUUAAAAAUAGUGGUGCACGGGGGCCCCAUUUUCAACUCAACUAUACAUUUUCUUUGCUUAUGAAUGCUUGGGAGAAGCGAAAACCCCCUCUAACAAUACGCCGAAAGACGCAGCAGAUGCGACUAACCGAUUAGUAGCCUGCAUGAAUGAAUAAAUAAAUCAAUGAAAAACAAAUCAUUUUUACCCCCUCAAGUGAUAAAAUCACAUCAAUACACUCUUCUAAAGGCUUUUCACUCCUUUUCAUAAUUGUGUCAACGUAUAGUUCAUAUGCUUCUCUCACAGAUUUGUCAAUGUAUAGUUUAUAAAAUAAUGAUCCCUU